rnacentral:tRNA from 1 species
AUUUUUUUAGUAUAGACAGUACAUCUGACUUCCAAUCAGAAAGCCUAAAAAUUUUAGAAAAAAUA